rnacentral:rRNA from 1 species
CGUGGCAGGCAGUCGCGUAAUCGAGAGUGCCAGCGUAAUUCGAAUUACUGGCGUAAGCGCACGCAGUCGUUGUAGUCAGAUGUGAAAUCCCCGGCUCAUCUGGGACCUGCAUCUGAUACUGGCAAGCUUGAGUCUCGUAGAGGGGGGGGUAGAAUUGCAGGUGUAGCGGUGAAAUGCGUAGAGAUCUGGAGGGAAUACCGGUGGCGAAGGGCGGCCCCCUGGACGAAAGACUGACGCUCAGGUGCGAAAGCGUGGGGAGCAAACAGGAUUAGAUACCCUGGUAGUACACGCCGUAAACGAUGUCGACUUGGAGGUUGUGCCCUUGAGGCGUGGCUUCCGGAGCUAACGCGUUAAGUCGACCGCCUGGGGAGUACGGCCGCAAGGUUAAAACUCAAAUGAAUUGACGGGGGCCCGCACAAGCGGUGGAGCAUGUGGUUUAAUUCGAUGCAACGCGAAGAACCUUACCUGGUCUUGACAUCCACGGAAGUUUUCAGAGAUGAGAAUGUGCCUUCGGGAACCGUGAGACAGGUGCUGCAUGGCUGUCGUCAGCUCGUGUUGUGAAAUGUUGGGUUAAGUCCCGCAACGAGCGCAACCCUUAUCCUUUGUUGCCAGCGGUCCGGCCGGGAACUCAAAGGAGACUGCCAGUGAUAAACUGGAGGAAGGUGGGGAUGACGUCAAGUCAUCAUGGCCCUUACGACCAGGGCUACACACGUGCUACAAUGGCGCAUACAAAGAGAAGCGACCUCGCGAGAGCAAGCGGACCUCAUAAAGUGCGUCGUAGUCCGGAUUGGAGUCUGCAACUCGACUCCAUGAAGUCGGAAUCGCUAGUAAUCGUGGAUCAGAAUGCCACGGUGAAUACGUUCCCGGGCCUUGUACACACCGCCCGUCACACCAUGGGAGUGGGUUGCAAAAGAAGUAGGUAGCUUAACCUUCGGGAGGGCGCUACCAUAGUGGAAUACG